CAGCAGCCGCGGGAAUACGGAGGGAGCUAGCGUUGUUCGGAAUUACUGGGCGUAAAGCGCGCGUAGGCGGUUACUCAAGUCAGAGGUGAAAGCCCGGGGCUCAACCCCGGAACUGCCUUUGAAACUAGGUGACUAGAAUCUUGGAGAGGUCAGUGGAAUUCCGAGUGUAGAGGUGAAAUUCGUAGAUAUUCGGAAGAACACCAGUGGCGAAGGCGACUGACUGGACAAGUAUUGACGCUGAGGUGCGAAAGCGUGGGGAGCAAACAGGAUUAGAUACCCGCGUAGUCCCUGUCUCUUAUAA
rnacentral:rRNA from 1 species